UAUUAUAUUAUUGCACCACUAAGCAUUAUUGCUUAGCGCGUUGCUUUUGCCACGCGUAGGUACUGGAGAUCCCAAUCGUGAGCCCAGUAGACCACAGACUGGGUGAGUCCAUCCUGCAGUUCUGCACAGUGUCCGUGUCACCUCGUCACCUGCAGUGCAUUGGUAGGACACUAGAUGUCAUUUUGUCAUUUUGUAAUUAAAUUUUUAUUUUCUCAUAUGUAUUUGGGAUUUAUGUAAUGUAUUUUGAGGUUUAUGUAAAUUAUGAAAAUUAUAUUUGUGAAUGGAAAAGUAAAUGGUUAUUUAUGAUUUAUAUGUGAUCAUCACAUGUGAUGGAUGAUUGAGAAUUGAAAUUGAAA